UUUAUUUUUAUGUUUUUUCUUUUCUUUUGAUGCACUCAAUGUUGAUAUUUUUGUGGUUUUUGGGUCCAUGCUGAUCUCAUCAAUAAUAAUCAUCUUGCGCGGGGAAGGUAAUUACUGAAACAUUAUAAAAUACACAAUUAGUUUUAAUUAACUAAAAAUCAUGACAUGUAAUCUAAUACCUUUUUUUAAGUGUGAAACUGAAUCAAGACAUGGAUUUGAAUCCAUGUUUUACAUUCAUAUGUGCUGUUGACAUAAAAUGUUUUUUUAAUUAAGUAAAUAUUUGACCGACUUGUUUGAAUAAAAAUUACACAGAGCAACGCCAUUCCAACAAUCAUUUUUUUUGUUCCUGAAGAAGCAUCAAUUUAAUAAUGUAAAAGUCUGACCCGAUCUUUUUUUUACAAUUAUUGAAUUAUUAUUAUAUUUUACAUUAAAACAUUUUAGUUUCUUUUAUUAAAAAAAGAUUUAAAAGAUCCAACUCUUAAUAGAUUUCGUAGGAGAAAACUAAAACACAAAAUAUCUACAAAAAUAUUUAACAGUAAUAAAAAAAUUCUAACCGCUCAAUCGGAAGAUAAGUAAAUGUCAGAAUACGCCUAUGGACAACUAAGGGCAUCUCCAAUGCAACACUAAAAUUUACUCUAUAUUUCAUUCUAAAAUAAAGUAACUCUAUUAUAGACUUGAAUUUGCUCCAAUAGUUCACUCUAUAAUAGAUUUACUCUAUAAUAUAGUGAAAUAUAGAGUAAUCUUAUUUUUUUACUCUAUAUUUGGAGUAAAAAAAAACAAGAUUACUCUAUAUUUCACACUAAUAUAGAGUAACUCUAUUAUAGAGUGAACCAUUGGAGUAAAUCCAACUCUAUAAUAGAGUUACUCUAUUUUAAAAUGAAAUAUAGAAUAAAUUUUAGUGUAGCAUUGUAGAUGGUCUAACCACCAAAAACGGCAGAGAUUAGACAAGCCUCUGAUGAACUGAAUACCAAAGCACACCGACAAGACCACCACCUGAUAGAAUUGAACUACAAAUACCAAAACACAAAAGAUUAUGAAGGAGAAGCUCCUCGAUGGAACAUAAAAAGUAGGAUUACGAGAAGAAAGAUGCUAAUUCGACCAGGGAUCAACCGUUGCCAUAGCUAGUCGCUGCUGAAGCUCCUUUCAAGAUUCGUUGCAGCCCUCAACGCAACGAGCUACUCAUCAGCCACCAGUAGUUCAAACAAACUAACUAAACAAACUAAAGAUCUUCACUGCUAUAGCCACUAUAACG
rnacentral:lncRNA from 1 species